ensembl:snoRNA
AUGCAUCUAUUUGACAGACCUGGAGCAGUUAUUGUCUGCUGCUAAGGUUCUCAUUACAGAUGUAAGAAAAAAAUUGUCCUCACCCUUUCUGUCUAAUUGUGGCAGCCACGAUUGAAUGGGGGAAUGGGGGG